GAUGAACGCUGGCGGCGUGCCUAAUACAUGCAAGUCGAGCGAACGGACGAGAAGCUUGCUUUUCUGAUGUUAGCGGCGGACGGGUGAGUAACACGUGGAUAACCUACCUAUAAGACUGGGAUAACUUCGGGAAACCGGAGCUAAUACAGGAUAAUAUUUUGAACCGCAUGGUUCAAAAGUGAACGCCGGUCUUGCUGUCACUUAUAGAUGGUACCGCGCUGCAUUAGCUAGUUGGUAAGGUAACGGCUUACCAAGGCAACGAUGCAUAGCCGACCUGAGAGGGUGAUCGGCCACACUGGAACUGAGACACGGUCCAGACUCCUACGGGAGGCAGCAGUAGGGAAUCUUCCGCAAUGGGCGAAAGCCUGACGGAGCAACGCCGCGUGAGUGAUGAAGGUCUUCGGAUCGUAAAACUCUGUUAUUAGGGAAGAACAUAUGUGUAAGUAACUGUGCACAUCUUGACGGUACCUAAUCAGAAAGCCACGGCUAACUACGUG
rnacentral:rRNA from 1 species